CUUUCCCCUUACUCCGCUCCCCUCUUUUCCCUCCCUCUCCUCCCCUUCCCUCUGUUCUCUCCUCCUCUUCCCCUCCCCUCCCCCGUCCGGAGCACUCUAUAUUCAAGCCACCGUUUCCUGCUUCACAAAAUGGCCACCGCACGCGACACCUACGGUCACGUGGCCUGCCGCCCUCUCAGUUUCGGGAAUCUGCCUAGCUCCCACUAAGGGGAGGCUACCCGCGGAAGAGCGAGGGCAGAUUAGACCGGAGAAAUCCCACCACAUCUCCAAGCCCGGGAACUGAGAGAGGAAGAAGAGUGAAGGCCAGUGUUAGGAAAAAAAAAACAAAAACAAAAAAAACGAAAAACGAAAGCUGAGUGCAUAGAGUUGGAAAGGGGAGCGAAUGCGUAAGGUUGGAAAGGGGGGCGAAGAGGCCUAGGUUAACAUUUUCAGGCGUCUUAGCCGGUGGAAAGCGGGAGACGCAAGUUCUCGCGAGAUCUCGAGAACUCCGAGGCUGAGACUAGGGUUUUAGCGGAGAGCACGGGAAGUGUAGCUCGAGAGAACUGGGACAGCAUUUCGCACCCUAAGCUCCAAGGCAGGACUGCUAGGGGCGACAGGACUAAGUAGGAAAUCCCUUGAGCUUAGACCUGAGGGAGCGCGCAGUAGCCGGGCAGAAGUCGCCGCGACAGGGAAUUGCGGUGUGAGAGGGAGGGCACACGUUGUACGUGCUGACGUAGCCGGCUUUCCAGCGGGUAUAUUAGAUCCGUGGCCGCGCGGUGCGCUCCAGAGCCGCAGUUCUCCCGUGAGAGGGCCUUCGCGGUGGAACAAACACUCGCUUAGCAGCGGAAGACUCCGAGUUCUCGGUACUCUUCAGGGAUGAGUCAUGUGGCAGUGGAAAAUGCGCUCGGGCUGGACCAGCAGGUUGGAGUGCAAUGGUGUGAUCUCGGCUCACCGCAGUCUCUGCCUCCGGGUUCAAGCGAUUCUCCUGCCUCAGCCUCCCGAAUAGCUGUGCCUUUCUGAUAAUAAAACAUCAAUGACUAGCUGGCUCUCUUGAGUAAAAGCAGCUAAUCAUUGGAAAGAACCUUAUUAUAUCAAAUUAUCUCUAGAAGAGUUUUUGUCCAUUAUAAAUCCUGAGCCCAGUUUAGAGGUGAUGGGAAUGUGUCCCUGUUAACUGACUAUAUUUAUUAAAUUGAAUUAAGGGAAUAUGCAUUUCAUUGGUUAUAGCUACUCCUUUCUCCUGAAGAACAGAAGACUAUACUGAAUUUUGGAUUGGUGGUUAGGUUAGGUUUUCAAAUGUGUCAUUUCUUUUAAAAAGGCAUUAGAAAAGUUGCUUUUUUUCUUCUAAGGGGGGUUAUUUAGAGACUUGUUAGAGGUUAGUGUUAAGAUAGGGGAUCUUGGUGGUUUAUUAUAAGGGCAAUAGACCCUUAUUUUUAGCUCAGAUCUCUUCCUACUUAUUAAAACAAAAGUGAGUAUGGGCUAUGAUGUGUCCUCAUUUUUAGGCAAGAACAGCUUCACUGGGAACAAAACUUGGUGUUUGCUUUAACUUUCACCUUAUUUGUCAUGCUAAGAAUCUUUUAGGAACUGAUUGUCCUAGUAGAGAUUUUUAAAAAUAUUUAAUUCAGUCUAGAAGUGAAAAAGAAAAAUGACACGUUUACUAGUUAUAAAGCAAAUUUAUUUGGCUUUAUGUUGUUUUUUUUGCUUAUCCAUAUUCUAGGCUGUACUCCUGCUCGCAUACAGAGCAACUGUCAACUUUCCUUAAACUCAGCAAGCCCCAAAUUAAAACCUGCAAUUCCUUGAAAU
rnacentral:lncRNA from 1 species